rnacentral:rRNA from 1 species
UUUACACUGCACGACAGUGCGAUAGGGGGAUCCCAAGUGCACAGGCAUAGCGCCUGUGCUUUUCGGUACCCUAAGGCGGUACCAGAAUAAGGGCUGGGCAAGACCGGUGCCAGCCGCCGCGGUAAUACCGGCANCCCAAGUGAUGGCCGAUCUUAUUGGGCCUAAAGCGUCCGUAGCUGGCCGCGCAAGUCCAUCGGGAAAUCCACCUGCUCAACAGGUGGGCGCCCGGUAGAAACUGCGUGGCUUGGGACCGGAAGGCGCGACGGGUACGUCCGGGGUAGGAGUGAAAUCCCGUAAUCCUGGACGGACCGCCGAUGGCGAAAGCACGUCGCGAGAACGGAUCCGACAGUGAGGGACGAAAGCCAGGGUCUCGAACCGGAUUAGAUACCCGGGUAGUCCUGGCCGUAAACAAUGUCUGCUAGGUGUGGCUCCCACUACGAGUGGGUGCUGUGCCGUAGGGAAGCCGCUAAGCAGACCGCCUGGGAAGUACGUCCGCAAGGAUGAAACUUAAAGGAAUUGGCGGGGAGCAC